AAAAAAGACCUAAGGAAAAAAGCUGGCAAGCGCCGCAAUACAAGGACCCACCCCCUAAAUCCCAUCUUCUUAAUCCCCCUUUCGUCGAUGUUGCUUCUUCUCCACCCUUUUCACUGACCUUCAAAUAGCAGCUCCACCAUGCUGUUCACCAUCACGCCGCUGCCAGCAACCAAUCCAAACGGAUCAACGGCUUAGUUCCCUCACCUCCCAUUAACACAUACACAUACAAUAACAAAAGAACACAAAAAAAAAGAGUGUGUGAAACACCAGAAAAUCGAAAUGAAACAUAAGUUUCAAUCAUCUUCUUUCUGAUUUCUAUUUCUGUUUUAUUAUGGAAUUCUUUUGAGUUUUCGCUGUUUCGAGCUCGACUAAAACCAUCAUCCGCUCGAGGUCUCGUUUGAGGUUUGGAGCUCAUUUGUGAGAUCUGUUCAGAGGCAAGUAUUGAAGUUUCGAGUUCGUCGAGGUCCGGUAUCGACGAGUCGACGGGAAACAGAUUGAUUCACUGUUUUCAGUUCUUUAAUCAGGUAAUUAUCAAGUACCAGUUAUUUUUUGCUAUUAGUAUUUUCGUCUCUGUUUUGGUUGUUGUGGAAGAAGCGAGAAAGGAAACUUCAGAAACUAGGCAAGAUUUCCUAAAGUUUUGGCGUAUGUUCUCUCUUGGAUUUUGGAUGUAAAGCUUAAUUAGUAUUUCAAUCUCUGUUGUGAAAGUUCUCUGACUUAUGCUGUAAUGUAAUUGGGCAGUAAAAAUGGAAUCUCUCAAAUUUUUAUUAAUAGGAAUUAAAUGGACCCGGAUAGAGUGUAAUUAUUAAAGUGUAAUUAUUGUUUGAUUUGUUAAUUAUAAGUUAAAUAGAUUUUUCUUGUUAGUAGGAAAUAAAUCAAUAUUUAUAAAUACUAGUAGUGUGCUUUUUGGCGCAAUUAAUAAUAAAUCAUCGUGACUACGGGUAUGGUUCCCAUGGCGUGGUUGUGAUACUUAAUCUCAAAAUUAGUGUUAAAUAGGAAUAUUCGUAGUUCAUGUAGUUGAAUACUUUCCUCUUAAUAAAAUUGAGGCGUGCCACGCCAAACAAAAUUUAUAAUCCAUAGCCCUCAUAAGAUUAGAUUCAAGAACUAAAUUUUAUAGGAAAAAGUUUGAGGUGUGCCGUACCAAAUAAAAUCCCUAAGUCCAUGGCCCUCAUAAAACUAGCUAGCUUUUAUAGAAAAAUCGAGGUGCGCCAUCAAUUGAAUUUUCCAUGGCCCUCGCAAACGUUGUUAUUAAUUUGAACCUUCGUAAUUGCUUUAGGUGCGUUAUUUACAUGUUUGGACCUAAUGUGCUAAAUGUUGCUUUUUACCGCUUUGAUAUUAUCUGAACUGUAUAUAAACUGCUACGAAACCCCUCUCUUCUAAUCUUCUGAGAAGUGCACGCUGGCGUGACUUCUUUCUGUUAGUGUCAUAUCCUAAUUAGAACGAGGUUCGAACAAGUUGCAAAGUCGGAUGAUCUUUUGGUUACCGGUACGCUGCCCCCCUUGGCUCGAGUUGUCCGCUCGGGUAAGCCAGGUCUAGAACAAUACACCCAGAUCUUAAACCUAGAAUAACUCAGCCUCAUGCCAGAUCCCUAGUAGGAACUCUUGUUUGCAUCAUGUGCAUUUGACUUUGGGGACUCAACACAGGGGUUGGGUCCGUCUAGGACAAGUGUACCCAAAAAACAAAAGACUAUCCUGUUGCAUCCUAUAUGCUACAUGUUGUAUUUUUUCAAGGGUAAAAGGGUCAUUUGCCAGACCAAUGAUGCUGAGGGUAAAUAAGAAAGAAAAGAGGGUAAAGUGUGAAAAUAAAACAAGUAAGGCCCAUUUAUGUUUUUCUCUCACUUUUGUUUAAGAAAAAGAAAAAAAGUAUGAAUAAUCCAAAAAGAUUUUGCACUUUCCCCAUCAUUUUUUUCAAAAAAAUAAAAGAGAAAAUAAAAUCCAAAAAAAGUUUACAUGUUUCAUAAUUUUUCAAAACAAAGACAAAAAAAAAUAUUUUCUCUGGAUUAGUUGUUUUUUUUAAUUCUCGUCGUAUCCAAUCUGCCCGAACUACGCAUACCUGAUUCUCGUCUUUUGGGGCGUGAUGCAUAGGCAACCCACAUAGGUGUCCGGUCUUCCUAGUGAGUUUAGGUUCUUGCCUUCACGGGGUCUUAGCUAAAUCUUGCAUUUUUAGCCACUUUUAGCCACAUAGGUUAAUUUUAGAAAAAUGGUCACAACCAUGUCUUGCAUGUGUCUAGUAGGGAAUGUUAUUGUCUCACAUAGCGUUGGUUUAAGUUUUCUCAUACAGGUGUGGAUGUACUUACCGGAGUUUGAGCAUGACAGAUACACCAGGAUCACUGCAUUCAUAAGCUGCUCGACGAGCCAUUUUAUAUUUUUAAGUCAAUUGUUCAUGUUUUAUUUUCUAGUCUUGUAUAGUAGUAUCCAGUCUUUUAGGUGAUGUUAGAGUUUGUAAUAGUCUAGUUAUGUUUUCUGAGUCUUUUGUUAUUGUAUUUUUUGCGGUUUUAUAUUUC
rnacentral:lncRNA from 1 species